GACGAACGCUGGCGGCGUGCUUAACACAUGCAAGUCGAACGGAAAGGCCCUGCUUUUGUGGGGUGCUCGAGUGGCGAACGGGUGAGUAACACGUGAGUAACCUGCCCUUGACUUUGGGAUAACUUCAGGAAACUGGGGCUAAUACCGGAUAGGAGCUCCUGCUGCAUGGUGGGGGGUGGAAAGUUUCGGCGGUUGGGGAUGGACUCGCGGCUUAUCAGCUUGUUGGUGGGGUAGUGGCUUACCAAGGCUUUGACGGGUAGCCGGCCUGAGAGGGUGACCGGCCACAUUGGGACUGAGAUACGGCCCAGACUCCUACGGGAGGCAGCAGUGGGGAAUAUUGCAAAAUGGGCGGAAGCCUGAUGCAGCAACGCCGCGUGGGGGAUGACGGCCUUCGGGUUGUAAACCGUUUUCGCCUGUGACGAAGCGUGAGUGACGGUAAUGGGUAAAGAAGCACCGGCUAACUACGUG
rnacentral:rRNA from 1 species